CCUCACUUCUAUGCUAUGUACAGGAGGAAGCAAAUGAUACGAAAGUGGAUAUAAAGAAGCUAUAGCUGAUCUUAUUCUAGGGAGGGGUCUGAUGCCCAAGUUCACACAGGAAGCCAAUGCAAGAGCAGCAGCUUUUCUCCUGGGUCUCACAUUGGCACUUGGACAGCUGAACCCAGCUUCCUGCAUUCUGAGUUCAAGCAGGGCACAGGGACACAUUCAUUCGGCCAAGGGGUAAAAGAAACAGCAUGAAUAACAUGGUGUCUCCAUGAAGAUAAGACCAUUGGCUCUCUAUGGAAAAAAAAUGUUUUUCUCAAAUGCAGGAUAUAGUGACAGAGGAUUGAGUGACAGAGGACAGAGAACAGUGGAACUCCCACCAACAUGGAACGGCUUGUGGCAAAUCUGAAGUCCAAGGGUAUCCUUGGCUGAAGAGACCAUGAAGUGAGGGAGUUAAGAUUCAUACAGCAGCCAGAGCAAGCUCACUACUUGUGGAUGCCUUAUCCCUGUAAGCCUUCAAGAACCAUUAAAACUGAGGAUUAGAAUCUACAGUCAUUGAAUCCUUUAUUCAUAUUACUCUUCAUUUUACAUUUGUGGAGUCCAACAGAAAUCAGUAAAUGUGGGAAUACAAGAAAAACUGUUCAGAGCAGCAGCUGUGGAGCAAGAUAAACAACAUGAAAACCAAGGACACCUCUAAAAUCACGGCUCUGAUUGGAUAAACACCUGCACAAACAGUUGAAGAGUGUUUUGUAGAAUGCUCUACUGACAUGUAAAGGUGGAUGGGAAAGUUGUAGGGUUGAUGGGAAAGCUAGAAAAAGAAAACUUGUAUAUAAGUGAUGUGAGAACUUGUAAUAAACGAUUGGGAUCGUUCACAUUUGAGUCCGUGCAUUAGAUGCUGCAAGUAAAGAUGCCCAUAUAUAAUUAUAACUCCAGUAAAAGAUGUUCACUCUGUAAACACUCAUUCAUUUAGGUAGCAAUUAGUUGAUUUGAUUUUACUCACAGUAUAACUCUAAACCACAGAUAUUGUAGAUUAUUUUCAGAAU